GGAAGGACAAACCAGUAUUAUCUUUGGACUCAUUGACAAAAUCACGAAAAGCUAUGAUUGAUUCAAAAUCUUCUGAUGAAGAAGAUGAUGAAGAUACCGCAACUUCACGGUAAAAGGAAAUUGAAGAAGAAUGAACGUUUUUAAUAAGUGUUUAAUUUUUUUUCAAAAUAAAUACACAUAUUUAAUUACAAAUUUAGUCCCACGAAGCCUCUCACCAGAGUACUGGUGCCAAAUGGAUCUAUAUACAUCCACAUCCUCAAUUUUGAAAAGUUUAUAUUAUUAUUAAUUAAUUUUUUUACAAAUAAUAUAAGGAUACUUAUAUAAAAUUUCUACAUUUUAUAUAAUUUCAGUAUUUUUUAAUAAAUACUUUUAUUUAUCUAAAUAAAAUUCAGAUUUAAUUAUUUUUAUACAGCUUUUUUCAAGUACGCUCAGCAUAAGGUAAGCUCAAAAAUACUCACCCUUGCUGAGCCGUUGGAUAUUGUACCUCUUCAUCCCAACCGUCCUUCGUUUUAAGAGUUUUUUGUUGUUUUAUUUUGAUAUUCUUCGUAUCAGAGAAGAUGAUCGGAUGUAACAAAUGAAAUUGAAUUGAAAUUGUUGAUGAUAAAUCACUCGACGGAAAUGAUAUAAAUAGACCUUACAGACUCAAUCUAUGAUCUACUUUACAUGAUUAUGGAUUACAAUUGCAAUAAAAUAAUGCUAAACUAGGAAACCAUGCAAAUAAGGAAAUCAUGCAAUGGAAACAACUGAC
rnacentral:lncRNA from 1 species